rnacentral:rRNA from 1 species
UACAGAGGUGGCAAGCGUUGUUCGGAAUUACUGGGCGUAAAGGGCGCGUAGGCGGUCUUGUAAGUCCUGUGUGAAAUCCCUCGGCUCAACUGAGGAACUGCACGGGAUACUGCGAGACUUGAGUUCGGGAGAGGGAAGCGGAAUUCCGGGUGUAGCGGUGAAAUGCGUAGAGAUCGGGAAGAACAUCGGUGGCGAAGGCAGCCCCCUGGGCUGACACUGACGCUCAGGCACGAAAGCGUGGGGAGCAAACAGG